rnacentral:misc_RNA from 1 species
UACGUAGGUGGCAAGCGUUGUCCGGAAUUAUUGGGCGUAAAGCGCGCGCAGGCGGUCUUUUAAGUCUGCUGUGAAAGCCCCCGGCUCAACCGGGGAGGGUCAUUGGAACCUGGGAGACAUGAGUACGGAAGAGGCGGGUGGAAUUCCACGUGUAGCGGUGAAAUGCGUAGAUAUGUGGAGGAACACCAGUGGCGAAGGCGACUCUCUGGUCUGUAACUGACGCUGAGGCGCGAAAGCGUGGGGAGCAAACAUG